rnacentral:lncRNA from 1 species
GUCACACUGGGCAGGAGAACAGCCACAGACGAGGAAGUGAAGCCAGAGAAUGAUACCAAAAAGCAGCCAAGAAGUCAGUGGUGAGGCAGGACCAGAGCUCCUAGCUAUUGGAUAAUUUUAAUAGUCUUUCUACAAGAAGCGAUAGCCAGCAAGGACGGCAAUGCAUUUAGCAUGUUUUUUUUCUUGCACCAAGACAAACUAUGAGAUGAGAAGAUACGGAGGGAUGGAAGGAGAAAACGAG